UGCAAGUCGAACGCGAAAGUCCCCCUCGGGGGAUUAGUAGAGUGGCGCACGGGUGAGUAACACGUAGGUAAUUUGCCUUCGGGUGGGGAAUAACAGCCGGAAACGGCUGCUAAUACCGCAUAAUGCAGCGGCACCUCAUGGUGACAGUUGUUAAAGCGGGGGAUCCUUCGGGACCUCGCGCCUGAAGAGAAGCCUGCGGCGGAUUAGCUUGUUGGUGAGGUAAUGGCUCACCAAGGCUACGAUCCGUAACCGGCCUGAGAGGGCGGUCGGUCACACUGACACUGACAUACGGGUCAGACUCCUACGGGAGGCAGCAGUCGGGAAUUUUGGGCAAUGGGCGAAAGCCUGACCCAGCAACGCCGCGUGAAGGAUGAAAUCCUUCGGGAUGUAAACUUCAUAAGAACGGGAAGAAUAAGCGAAAGCGAAUACCUUUCGUGAUGACGGUACCGUUAGUAAGCUCCGGCUAACCCCGUGCCAGCAGCCGCGGUAAUACGGGGGGAGCAAGCGUUGUUCGGAUUUACUGGGCGUAAAGGGCGCGUAGGCGGUUAUGACAAGUCGGUUGUGAAAUCUCCGGGCUUAACUCGGAAAGGUCAACCGAUACUGUCAGACUAGAGUGCGGAAGGGGCAACUGGAAUUCUCGGUGUAGCGGUGAAAUGCGUAGAUAUCGAGAGGAACACCUGCGGCGAGGGCGGGUUGCUGGGCCGACACUGACGCUGAGGCGCGAAAGCCAGGGGAGCGAACGGGAUUAGAUACCCCGGUAGUCCUGGCCUUAAACGAUGGAUGCUUGGUGUCUCGGGUUUAUAGUCCCGGGGUGCCGGCGCUAACGCGUUAAGCAUCCCGCCUGGGGAGUACGGUCGCAAGACUG
rnacentral:rRNA from 1 species